UACGUAGGUGGCAAGCGUUGUCCGGAAUUAUUGGGCGUAAAGCGCACGCAGGCGGUCCUUUAAGUCUGAUGUGAAAGCCCUCGGCUCAACCGAGGAGGGUCAUUGGAAACUGGAGGACUUGAGUGCAGAAGAGGAAAGUGGAAUUCCAAGUGUAGCGGUGAAAUGCGUAGAGAUUUGGAGGAACACCAGUGGCGAAGGCGACUUUCUGGUCUGUAACUGACGCUGAGGCGCGAAAGCGUGGGGAGCAAACAGG
rnacentral:rRNA from 1 species